GUGAAUAUUCACUCUAGCUCCUAUUGCCUGGCAGACUUACUCAUUAUAUCCUCAAUGGAAAUUCCAGAGAGGGACAACUGGAUUAGUCCAGUGACUCAUGGAGGAGCAUCUGCUUUUGAUGAAGUGCUUUCUCUUCAGUCGGGCCAAUCACGAUUGGGAGGCAGCGUCUUGAACGGUGGAAUAUGAGUAAGAACUUCUACAGAAGAGGCCAGGGCUUCCCAGAAGGGGGCUAUUCAGUAACAGUAAUUAUCAGCAACCUCUAUUUAGCACUUGAGCACAUAUCUAAAUAUUUUACAUAUGUGAAAAUUCAUUUAAUUUUCAUAACAUGCAUAAUUUAAUUGUUUUCAUUUAUUUGACAAAUAUAUACAGCGUUGCUCUGUAGCAGGCACUGGUCUUAGUACCUUACAGAUGUUGACUCCGUUGAUAAAAACUUACGAGUUAAGGAAAGACACUACCAUUCAAAUAGACAAGCUACAUAAGACAGACUACGUAUACACUGGAAUCAGAGUCUCCAAUCAGAAAGGGAUUUUGUGUCUCUUUUCCUGUUAAGAACCUGGUUUAGACAGCUCUGCUACCUAUAAACAUUUGCUCUAAUCAAUUAGAGAAGGAGAGCCUAAGAAAUGGUCAUGCAAAAUAUUCGGACAAUGUCACAUGAUGCCUGAAGACUGCUCUCAUUUUAACUGGGAUAAAGAGGACAUUUCUCCAUUCAAGAGCUGCUUCUGAUUGUUCUAUGUUUCUGAUGCAUUUUUACUAACGCAAUACAUAGGGUAAUAAGAUACUCAUGUUACAGACACAUUAUGUAAUAGUCUGUAUCGUUUAUAUCCUUAUUUGUUUUCAGGAAAAUCAAGUUUUAUUUUUACUUCUGUGAAACAAUGUCAUUUCAACUUAUUUAUACAUAUUCCUUUAUCAGGAAAUAAUUUUAUCCUGGAUAUCCCUUUAAUGUCUUGCAAAAUGUCUCCCCAUUCUUUUUCAUCUCUUAAUAUAUUUUUCCCACCCCACUACCCAACUGUGGCCAAGAUAUGGAAUAUAAAUAAAUGGAAAUAUGCAGUAAUUCUGGUUUGUAAUUGAGAAAUGUAUAUACUCAUCACUUUCUUAGCAAGGUUUUAAUAACAAACACUGAGUAUAGGAAAAGACUAGCAGAAUAGAAAUCUUUAAUUAGAAUCUCUCAAAACCUACCUUUAAAAAUUAAUUCAAAUAGGAAAUUAUUUAGAUUAAUUGACUUAUUUACUGCUCUAUUUUAUCAAAAUAUUAUUCUUUGUUGUCUGAAUUGCUCUUAUAGCUUCCUGUACCAUAACAAGGUAUCAUAGUUACGUACCAUAUCAUAGCUAGGGAGGAACUAGCUGUUUUAAGCAGUUUAUAAUCUGGGGAACAAAGGCAGGAAGAGGUUGAAUUAUAUGCUUAAAUUAUGAGGCAAAUAAGAAAAUUCUUUUGAGUAACUCACCAUUUGGUGAUUCCCAUUGGCCACUCUCUCA
rnacentral:lncRNA from 10 species